rnacentral:misc_RNA from 1 species
CCGAGUUUCUACUCUAAACCCUGCGAACCUACCAUUAACGUGCUUCGGCGGCCAGCCCCGGGGGGGCGCCCUACGGCCGCCGACAGUACCCAAAAAAUCACUUUUUCAGAGUCUUCUGAGUGACAAAAAAACAAGUCA